GCAAGUCGACUGGAAUUCUUCUUCGGAAGAUAGUACGGUGGCGGACGGGUGAGUAAUGCUUGGGAAUAUGCCUUAUGGUGGGGGACAACAGUUGGAAACGACUGCUAAUACCGCAUAAUGUCUACGGACCAAAGGGGGGGAUCUUCGGACCUCUCGCCAUUUGAUUAGCCCAAGUGAGAUUAGCUAGUAGGUGAGGUAAAGGCUCACCUAGGCGACGAUCUCUAGCUGGUUUGAGAGGAUGAUC
rnacentral:rRNA from 1 species